rfam:Oryzias latipes DNA, scaffold6261, strain: Hd-rR.
AGAGACUUAGGAUAGCAUUAAGACCAAGGGCCUUCAAAGCCCUAAGCAAGAGUGAAAAUCUCUUAGCCUCUG